rnacentral:rRNA from 1 species
UACGUAGGGGCCGAGCGUUGUCCGGAUUUAUUGGGCGUAAAGAGCUCGUAGGCGGCUCGUUGCGUCGGCUGUGAAAACCCGCAGCUCAACUGUGGGCUUGCAGCUGAUACGGGCGGGCUGGGAUUCGGUAGGGGAGACUGGAAUUCCUGGUGUAGCGGUGAAAUGCGCAGAUAUCAGGAGGAACACCGGUGGCGAAGGCGGGUCUCUGGGCCGAUAUCGACGCUGAGGAGCGAAAGCGUGGGGAGCGAACAGG